AGCUUUUUCCAUAAAGGGGCAGUUCACCCAGUAAUGAAAUAAAGCUAUGUUUCCACUUAUGCAGAGUUCUAUCUAUCCAACCUUCUAAGAAUUUGUUAAAACAAUGUUUAAAAGGUUAAAACUUUGACAACACACCCUAAAACAGUGGUGCUUUGGUGGAGACUUGCUGUUUUGCAGUAGAAAGUUUUAAAUGAAGCCGUGUAGAGAAAGGUCUGUGGAUGUUCAUGAGUAAUUAUGUCAUUUUAUUUGAAAAAGAGAAGUUUCUUUGAACGCCACAAAAACUUGGUCCCGUUGAAGUUCGUUGUAUCAAGGGGACAGUGGAUAUCUAGAAAAACAGUAUAAUCUUCCAUAUAUGGACGGAUAGAUCGCACUCCAGGGGCUGUCGGAGCCUAUCCCAAUAUGCAUUGGGCGAGAGGCAAGAAUAUCCCUGGACAGGUUGCCAAUCCAUCGCAGUGGCCUGUGGAAUGCAACAGGUGAUGCCGCGCCUGGGCUCACGGCUAACUUCAGUGUGCUGCAACCGCCCAGAACAGUGGGAAAGGUCUCUGGCCCGCGCUGAGGAGGAGUGACAUCACUGUAUCGCAGAGUGAAGGAGAGUUGGCCCUUGUCCCAUUUUCUCCACAUUGUGGAAAAUGUAGGCUGCAGUGGGCCGUUGUGCUGUGCCCUGGAAGGGCCAGAGACACCUGCCCUCUGCUGGGCUGGGGGGCACCUGAUUAGGAAUCCUGUGAUGUAGGAACGUAAUCCAUCAACCUCCCCAGCUCCACGUCGGGAUGCCUUUCCAGCAAUAACGUGUUCCGCAUGUGGAGUUUGGAGAUAAUAAAUGAGACGCCUAGCAACCAGGGAGAUGUCAGUACACUCCCACUGUGCUCCCUCGCCCCUUAUUCUCGUUUCCAUAUUCUCACCCUCUCCUUUAUUCUCUC